rnacentral:lncRNA from 10 species
CGUGGUUUGAAAAAGCAGUCACCUUCCGCCAGAAAUGUAGUCCCAGGGUCUAAUUCUGUGUGAUGCUGGUGGGAAGGAGGCUACUGAAAAGAACUGAAGGGUUGGAGACAGCCGGAGACCCCAGUGUCUGAGGACUGAGGGUGAGUUACUGGCACCUCCCUCCCUGUUCAAGGGGUGCAAUCCCCACGUGCCCAUUCCAACAAGUGGGCAAGACCCAGAUCCUGCCUGAAGUCAGCUGACACUCAGCAAGCUCACUGGGGGGCCAGACAGUGGUCCAUGUCCCAGAACGAAGGCAACAGCAAGGUCUGAGGACUGUCCCAUGUCCUUGUCCAAAAGCCAACAGUGUGCACCUUGCCACUUGCAAAUGAGGCAGUCAUGUGGCUCGUGAGGGAACGUUUUGUGGCCUCUGUCCACAGCCCGCUUGAGGAAGCAGGAGGGCUGGCCUGGCGUGGCUCUCUCCCAGAGCUCCAAGGGCCCUGCUCCCUCCUGCCCCCAGCACCAGGCUGCACGUUGGCUUUUCUGUGGCUCAUCUCUGACCACCUACAACCAUCUGCUGGGGAGAGCACCAGGACCCAACACGUUCCAGUGGACGAGUCCAGGAAGCCAGGAAUGUAUAUUGGCUCAGCAGUACCCACCCCAGAAAUGGAUUAACACUCAUGGAGACAUCCGGAUCGAAGACCUUGUAGGCACAAUACUAAGCUCGAUGAGUUAACUUUUCAUUCUACAAUGGGCUGAGAAAAAUUUUGCCAUUUGGAAGUCAGACCGACCUGGAGCCAAAACUGCAAUGGGGCUUGGUCAAGCCAAGGGGCCCAUCAGAGCCCCGAGGAGAGCCGGCCUCUCUGGGCUUAGUCUAGCAAGGAGAGCAUGUCCAUCCACCUGGCCACCCUUCACCUGGCCCAGCCUGCCCUGCCUGCCACGUGCCCAGCCAGCUCUCCACCAUGGGAGGGACUUGCCCAGCACCUGCUUUAGGGGCCACACCCAGUGAGCUACAGAUUAGGUCACGGCCACUCGGGAGGGAAGCUCCCUCAUGAAGAAUUUUCCAGGCACCACCUGCUGACCUUGCCCAGCAGGAAGGCAGGACACAGCCUGCUGAGGGCGGUCAGGGCAGCCUGGCUGUGGUCAGCGUCCAGGUCUCACCGAGUGGCCGGCCUCUGCCCUGGCUCCCUCCAGCAGCACAGAGGGAAGUCGGGCUGUGUGGUCUCGGCCCGAGCAACAUCCUACUGGUGUCCUGCGAUCACUGACAACCCAGAACAGACACUCUGGCCCAGUAACCGCAGGCCCAGCUCUUGGGACGCUGUUCUGGGUCUCCGGCCUGACCCUGCAGUCGCCUUUUGCCUCUUUAAGAACAGAGUCGUAAAACAGGAGCCCAAGCCUGGAUCAGACAAACCUGGAGUCAGACCUCUUCAGCACUUACAAGCUGUGUGGCCUAGAGUCAAUCACUUAACCUCUUGGUGCCUCAGUUUACUCAUCUAUAAAGUGGGAGUGAUAAUGGCCACCUCGUGGGGUUGCUAGGGACUGAAUGAGACGAUGCUCAAAGCAGGGGUACCAUGCCCGGCACAUUCCAGCACUCAACACCUAACCCCUGCUGUCACUGUCCUUGUCAUUAUUACCAGAUUCACAAGCGGAGCCGGCUAAGGCCAAGGAGCUGUCCUCUGAGAUCCAUUUGCUCCCGCUGCUGGGAAUGAAAACGUCGCUGACACCGGGCUCUGCAGAGCCAGUUUCUGAUUAGAUGGAGGUAACCCAAGUUCCAAAAACCACAGCUGAGGAGCAGCAGCUGACAAGCUGGUUGCAUGGAUGUGGAAAACUACCGCGUUCCAGCCGCCUCCAGACAGAAACAGGACGCAUAGCCAGGUCCCACGGCAGCUCCAAAGAGGGCCUUGCACGCCAAGCGGGGCACCCCCCAGCCUGAGGGUUCACCAACCACGCGGACCACGCGGAAACCUAGCUGGGCUUCUCUCUCCCCUCGGGGCGCCAGUGCGGGAGGCGGUUUCUCCCUUGGAAGUGGAAGUCAGAUCUGCUUCCAGGUUCCCGGUCUAGGGCCGGUCUAGGGCAGCUAAGCCUGCCUGCUCCUUCCUUUCCAUCCUCCCUGGUCAGGGGAGCCCAACAGCAACGCGAGGGCACCCGACCCUCUGCCUGCACCUGGAGGGCGCCCGGGUCCCCCCAAGCCACGGCCAGGACGUCGCGUGGUG